CAGGAGCGGCCUUGGGGACAUCUACAUUAAGAUGAUGAGCUUGUUAUGUUAUUAUGUUCAUUUGAUUAUCGUUUAUGCCAUGAGAUUAAUUAUGCUUACACUUGAUCAUGUGAUUAGUGGAUUAUCUAUGCUACCUUGGCAUUUGCUAUUUAAUUAUGAAUAUGCUAUCCACUAAUAAAAGCUAAAUGCAGUCAAACCAGUGUCAGCUAUUUGAGCCUCAUGAACCCCUGGGUAUACUUGUUGAGUACGAUAUGUGCUCACCCUUGCUAUUUCCCACCACUUCAGUUUACUAGUAAGAGUCGAGCAGAAGAGCGAUGGAAUCAUGAAGGUGUUCUCAAGAUACAAGAAGUGCUAGGCAUAUGUUACCCCCAGUCAGCCGUCCCUGUGUAGAUUGAGCCUGAAGAUUUGUUACCGUUCCGCGAUACUCUGAUGUAAGUGUUAAUUAUAAAUAUGUUUUCGCUAUAUAACAUUGUUUCUGAUACUGUUCCUUUCUGUUGUUGUAUGUGUGGACUUCCUGGGCACACAUAUAGCUAGCCUGGUUUUGUUCCUUAAAACCGGGUGUGACAGAGUGGUAUCAGAGCAGUGUUGACUGUAGGACGUAUGCCUAGGUAGCACUGGUCGGUUAGAAAAGUCUAAUUUGCUAUAAAACUAUUUUAUUAUCCCUUGGCUCUUUGAGUUUGAUUAUUUCUCAAUCUUUGUCAUAUUGUAUCUCCUCCUUGAAUAGCUUCCUUUGAGCUAAUUCUAUUUAUCACCUUGGCCUUUAUUUACUUGUUUUACUUAACUUUUCAAAACUUGUUCUAUUAAAAAUUCGAUGGCCUUUUAUCAUCUCUAAUCUGCCCUUUAGGAUGACCACCAUUGUUGAAGAAACAGGUGUAGAAUCGAUGAUGUGUUGUGUGCUUGUCUUGUUUGUAUGAUGCCUGUGUGUCGUCUUUGUUCUUGUGUUUCGAAGGAGGUCUGGAAGGUACCGUCGUGAGAAGUAGCUCAAUCUUGUUAAGUGGGGUAGCGUCCGCUACCGUUAAGUAUCUCAAGUUUCAAGACAGGAAAAUCUAACGAUCAAUCUUAUCCUUCUUGUAUAUCCUUCUUGUAUAGCAAACGUCAUCUUUUCUAUCAUCAAUCAUUAUCUUAUACACUAUUUAGUAUUUGCCCCUUAUCAUUACCUUGUAAUAUGAUGACCUACAGGUCAACUUCACCUUUCUAGUGUAUUUUUUUUGUCAUCGAUUUUUGUGUUUCUUGUGAUCAGCUAGUAUUUUCUAUUUAACCCUUGUCAGUCUACAAUUAUCUUAUCAUCUCUCAUCAUAAAGCUCGAAAUAACCUUGAAAACCAAUCUUUGUUCUCCUAUCGAUCCUUGUUAAGUUAUAAUAUUUCAUCAUAAACCUCAUAAAUCUUGAAUUAAGGAUUUCUGAGCACUAUAAGAUGUAUCUUUAUCUUUUAUAUAUUCUCUUAUUGAUCUUCACUCCUUGACUUUAAACCUCAUAAUGUGAAGACCCCGUGAUCAACUUUUAUUUAUCUUUUUAACCUUUGUUGAUAUUUCUCCUCCACACAUGCUGAUCUUCAAUCCUUUGAUCUCAUGUCAUAAAUCCUGAAUUAAUCUUGAGAGCCGAUCUUUGAUAUCUUUGUCAACUUUUGUUAAUCAUUAAUUUCUAAAUCAUCUUGUCAAAAGUCUCAAAGCAACCUUGAUGAUCACCUUUAUCAUUGUCUCUAGUCUCUUCGAAUCUCGGGACGAGAUUCCUGUUAAGUGGGGUAGAAUAAUUGUAACACCCUAAAAUUUGCUCCUUUUAAAAUAGAUGAAAAUUGAUUUAGUUUUGUAUUUGAGUGCUCAUGAAAAUAUAAAAAAAAAAUAAUUUUGCUCCUUGUUCGGCACAUCUUUAUUCCUUGUUUUCCAGCCUGUGCUUUCGUUUCGAGUUUCCCAAAAUCUUUUCCGUGUAACCCAAAUCACUCCUUUCAGUUCCUCACCCGUCAAUCAAUCUCUAAAAAGUUACCGGAAAUUAUUUCAGCAUUUUUCUGAAACUCGUUCCACUUUUCUGUGAGCAUAAUCUAAUUUUUAGAUACUCCUAUAUAUCUUUUAUGAGCUCUAAAUACUUUAUUUGGGUUCUUCAUGUUCUAAAAUAUCUUUAAGAAUUUUCUCAUAAUUUUUGGACCCUUCGGAGUAUUUUUCGGACCUUAAAUAUCAAUUCUGGACUUUUUGGAAUUAUUUUUAUUCACGAAAUUAAUUAAUUCCGAAAAUAAAAUAAAAUAUCUCGUUUUUCCAUCAACCCAAAACCCCAACACUAUAUAUAUGCCGGCGUAGCCCUCGAUGCGCUGAUUCCGAAAGUACGGCCGGUUUUUCGAGCCGUCGUUCCUAUCGUCUUAGAUCUAAAGCCGAAGUUUCGAAACCUAGAACUCCGGCGAACUUCCGGCGAACCUUCGGCGAGCUUUUCCGGCCAUCUCCGACAUCACCUGCGAAAAUCGUCGCCAUCUAGAGCACCAUGGCCGGCCUUCUCCUCUAUCUGCUCAGGCCACCCUGCAGAGCAACCAACCUAACCGAGUCCUAGGCACCGCAGCCCCAUGGCCAUGCCGACCAUGUGCGCCGUGGCCCUGCCGCGCCACCAGCCUUCCUGGCCGUGUGCUCGGUCGAGCAGGGCUGGCAGCAGGCCGUGCUGCCCCUGUGGUCUUGUCUCUGGCUCAUCUUGAACAUGGGUCCGUGUCGCUGUGACUUUGCGCUGCCUCGCCGUGUCUCCGGCUGGCCAGCUGGCCAGACCCCUCCCAUCCCCACGCACUGCGGCAGCAGUGGUCAUGGAGGCCACGGGCUCCUCCAGCCCAAGACGAGAACCGUUUGUGGGCGUUGAAGAUCAGAAGGUGAUGACCGAAAGCUGAAGGUGUGGGAAUUGAGCAAAUAUUUAAGGCAAGUAUAACUUGGGAUCAUCCUUGUUACCUAUUCACUUAUAACUACACAUAUAUGUCAUAUGCAUGCUAUCACCUUGUCGACCUUAGCAAAAUCAUAGA